CUACGGGUGGCUCCAGUGAGGAAUUUUGCGCAAUGGGGGAAACCCUGACGCAGCAACGCCGCGUGAGCGAAGAAGGCCUUCGGGUCGUAAAGCUCUGUCAAGUGGGAAAAAAAUUCUUUGAUGAACAGUCAAAGGACUUGAUGGUACCACUGGAGGAAGCACCGGCUAACUCCGUGCCAGCAGCCGCGGUAAUACGGAGGGUGCAAGCGUUGUUCGGAAUUACUGGGCGUAAAGAGCGUGUAGGCGGUUUGACAAGUCAGAUGUGAAAGCCCCGGGCUCAACCCGGGAAGUGCAUUUGAACUGUUUCACUAGAGUAUGGGAGAGGAGAUUGGAAUUCCUGGUGUAGAGGUGAAAUUCGUAGAUAUCAGGAGGAACACCCGUGGCGAAGGCGAUUCUCUGGACCAAUACUGACGCUGAGACGCGAAAGCGUGGGGGGCAAACAGGAUUAGAUACCCCGGUAGUC
rnacentral:rRNA from 1 species